AUUCUCAGGGCGGGGUGUAAUUCCCCACCGGCGGUAACCCGCAGAGGGAAGCCCGCGGGCGCGUUUUCAAGGGAAAAUGCGCAGAUCCGGUGAAAGUCCGGGGCCGACGGUAACAGUCCGGAAGAAAGAGCAU
rnacentral:ncRNA from 1 species